AGAGUUUGAUCCUGGCUCAGGAUGAACGCUAGCGGCAGGCCUAACACAUGCAAGUCGAGGGGUAGAGGAAGCUUGCUUCCUUGAGACCGGCGCACGGGUGCGUAACGCGUAUGCAAUCUACCUUGUACAGAGGAAUAGCCCAGAGAAAUUUGGAUUAAUGCCUCAUAGUAUAUUGGGUCGGCAUCGACCUAUUAUUAAAGAUUUAUCGGUACAAGAUGAGCAUGCGUCCCAUUAGUUAGUUGGUAAGGUAACGGCUUACCAAGACGAUGAUGGGUAGGGGUCCUGAGAGGGAGAUCCCCCACACUGGUACUGAGACACGAACCAGACUCCUACGGGAGGCAGCAGUGAGGAAUAUUGGGCAAUGGAGGCAACUCUGACCCAGCCAUGCCGCGUGCAGGAAGACGGUCCUAUGGAUUGUAAACUGCUUUUAUACGGGAAGAAACACCACUACGUGUAGUGACUUGACGGUACCGUAAGAAUAAGGAUCGGCUAACUCCGUGCCAGCAGCCGCGGUAAUACGGAGGAUCCAAGCGUUAUCCGGAAUCAUUGGGUUUAAAGGGUCCGUAGGCGGCCUUAUAAGUCAGUGGUGAAAUCUCCUAGCUCAACUAGGAAACUGCCAUUGAUACUGUAGGGCUUGAAUUAUUGUGAAGUAACUAGAAUAUGUAGUGUAGCGGUGAAAUGCUUAGAUAUUACAUGGAAUACCAAUUGCGAAGGCAGGUUACUAACAAUAUAUUGACGCUGAUGGACGAAAGCGUGGGUAGCGAACAGGAUUAGAUACCCUGGUAGUCCACGCCGUAAACGAUGGAUACUAGCUGUUGGGAGCAAUCUCAGUGGCUAAGCGAAAGUGAUAAGUAUCCCACCUGGGGAGUACGAACGCAAGUUUGAAACUCAAAGGAAUUGACGGGGGCCCGCACAAGCGGUGGAGCAUGUGGUUUAAUUCGAUGAUACGCGAGGAACCUUACCAAGGCUUAAAUGUAGAUUGACAGGACAGGAAACUGUUUUUUCUUCGGACAAUUUACAAGGUGCUGCAUGGUUGUCGUCAGCUCGUGCCGUGAGGUGUCAGGUUAAGUCCUAUAACGAGCGCAACCCCUGUUGUUAGUUGCCAGCGAGUCAUGUCGGGAACUCUAACGAGACUGCCAGUGCAAACUGUGAGGAAGGUGGGGAUGACGUCAAAUCAUCACGGCCCUUACGCCUUGGGCUACACACGUGCUACAAUGGUAGGUACAGAG
rnacentral:rRNA from 1 species